GAUGAAGAACGUAGCGAAAUGCGAUAGGUAAUGUGAAUUGCAGAAUUCAGUGAAUCAUCGAAUCUUUGAACGCACAUUGCGCCCGCCAGUAUUCUGGCGGGCAUGCCUGUCUGAGCGUCAUUUCAACCCUCAUGCCCCUAGGGCGUGGUGUUGGGGAUCGGCCAAAGCCCGCGAGGGACGGCCGGCCCCUAAAUCUAGUGGCGGACCCGUCGUGGCCUCCUCUGCGAAGUAGUGAUAUUCCGCAUCGGAGAGCGAUGAGCCCCUGCCGUUAAACCCCCAACUUUCCAAGGUUGACCUCAGAUCAGGUAGGAAUACCCGCUGAACUUAAGCAUAUCAAUAAGCGGAGGA
rnacentral:misc_RNA from 1 species